rnacentral:pre_miRNA from 1 species
CUUAUACUCCCUCCGUUUCAAAUUACUCGUCGCAGAAAUUGAUGUAUCUAGAACUAAAAUAUAUCUAGAUACAUCCAUACUUGCGACAAGUAAUUUGGAACGGAGGGAGUAGUAC